GAAUGGGGAAGUUCUUGAUAAGGCUGUGUUCGACACCUGGUACUAUGGAGGAGGUAGAGCAGCAGCACAGAGACUUACAACCUAUCUGCAGGAAGUCGAAGAGGGGCGGAUCAUCGUUAUCGCUGUCUUUGAUACCGUUGGUUCACGUGCACCUGGAUCCACCAUUCAAAUAGGCCAUAGAGAAUCUUUCGCCAUGAUCACUCAAAAAGGACGGACCCCAACUUGGUUUGUGGAGAAGAAGAGCGCAAGAGGUGCCGGACCUACUGUUGUCGAGGCUUACAUACAAGUAC